GCACGGGGGCAACCCUGGUGGCGAGUGGCGAACGGGUGAGUAAUGCGUCGGAACGUGCCCAGUAGUGGGGGAUAACUAGUCGAAAGAUUAGCUAAUACCGCAUACGACCUAUGGGUGAAAGCGGGGGAUCGCAAGAACCUCGCGCUAUCGGAGCGGCCGAUGUCUGAUUAGCUAGUUGGCGGGGUAAGAGCCCACCAAGGCGACGAUCAGUAGCUGGUCUGAGAGGACGACCAGCCACACUGGGACUGAGACACGGCCCAGACUCCUACGGGAGGCAGCAGUGGGGAAUUUUGGACAAUGGGCGCAAGCCUGAUCCAGCCAUGCCGCGUGCGGGAAGAAGGCCUUCGGGUUGUAAACCGCUUUCGGCAGGAACGAAACGGCGCGAGCGAAUAUCUCGCGUUAAUGACGGUACCUGCAGAAUAAGCACCGGCUAACUACGUGCCAGCAGCCGCGGUAAUACGUAGGGUGCAAGCGUUAAUCGGAAUUACUGGGCGUAAAGCGUACGCAGGCGGCUUUGCAAGACAGGUGUGAAAUCCCCGGGCCUAACCUGGGAACUGCAUUUGUGACUGCAUGGCUAGAGUUUGUCAGGGGGGGUGGAAUUCCACGUGUAGCAGUGAAAUGCGUAGAUAUGUGGAGGAACACCGAUGGCGAAGGCAGUCCCCUGGGAUGUGACUGACGCUCAUGUACGAAAUCGUGGGGAGCAAACAGGAUUAGAUACUCUGGUAGUCCACGCCCUAAACGAUGUCGACUAGUUGUCGGAGGGUAACUCCUUCGGUAACGCAGCUAACGCGUGAAGUCGACCGCCUGGGGAGUACGGUCGCAAGAUU
rnacentral:rRNA from 1 species